rnacentral:lncRNA from 10 species
UGCGGAGUUGCAUGUUGCUGUUCCUGAUGCACAGACUCCUCCCCCGCUGCUUUUCUGCCCACUGGGUCAGGAUCUGCCAUUCUUUACAAGUUUCCUUAACGUAUUGCGUCAAAGCGAGACAACCGAGUCUUACUCAAACUUGUUUUAACCGGAGAUGGAGGGUUGCUGCUGUGUCACCGCCUGCACAGGGCUGCCCUCAGGCCAGCUUCCUGGGGCUUACUCCAAGGGCAUCGGCUUGCCCCGCACUGUGGUGGGAUGUAAAGUGAUAACAGCUAAACGACGCAUGCACAACAUGUCCUGGUGCCUUCUGCGUGACCCCAGAGCAGCAGGUUCUGCACAUGGCAGGUAAGAGCACAGCUGCCAAGACCCCAAGCCUAGUUCUGCUGCUACAAGCUGCUGCGUGACUUAAGGUGAGUUCAUCUUCGCCUCAGUUUCCUCCUCUGUCAAAUGGGAUAGUCCUUACCGUGUAUGGAAUUUAAAGCACUUUGAAC